GGGCCACUGGCUCAAUGGUAGAGCGUUUGAUUCAAUUACUAAGGGUCGCGGGUUUGAAUCCCAGCUGGUCCA
rnacentral:tRNA from 1 species